GGGGUUUUUUGUUUGCAUUUUUUUUGUUGUUGUUGGGGGCUUUUGGGAGUUUUUUCUGUACUGGGCAGAGUUAAUGAUACCUUUUAAAAAUCUGACUUUUCAGUAUCCAUAAAACCUUGGUGAAAAGGAUGCAGUUAAACUGCAAAGUCUUACUCAUGUUAAAACUGGUGGUGGGGGAGGGGGGUGUUGGGGGUGUGCCUGAAUAUGGGGAAAGGACAGGAACAUUUUCUAUUUCCUAAUAUUUUUAUAUUUAAUCAGAGUUAAACCAAGGUUAUUCUACAGCAACUUUGAAAUGUGAUUAAGAAGCAAAAGAGAGAGAGGGUGACUUUUCAAAAUAUCACUUUGUGAUCGGAAUAUUACUAGGGUUGAAUAUGGCAGCUCUUCAGAAGUAUAUUGUACUGUAUUUCAAAAAAUAUAGAUGAGGUCCUUAGAAAUCAGAGCAAUCAAACAAAAAAGCAAGACGUUCUUGAACAAGAACACAUGAGUUUUCUGAUCUCCAGCACAGAGGAGACUGUGCUGGCUGUUGAGUCAGUUAUCAUUUUGCAGUAAAUUCAAUUGUAUCAAUAAAGCUGAGGGAGACAUCAAACAGAAAGCUUUAAAAGCAUAUCUUGGAAGCCUCAAGACAUGCUUAUUGUGUUUGGCUAUGAUACUUUUCAGGAAGGUCUUUUUUUAUCUUAUCUCUGGUUCAAAUUUCAGUUUUACCUUCUUCUUUUUCCUCUUCUCCUUUUUUGUUUUAUUGAAGUCAUGUUCAACAUUAAUAAUAAAAUAUUCAGCCCACCAUCAAAGAGUCCACUUAGUAUCCACUUAGCUAAUAACCCUUUAUUCAGAGGAGCAUAUGGGGGGGUUAUAAAAGAAGGAAAGAAACUGAAUAGAGGGAGGGAGACCUUCCAGAAACCAGGCAAGGGGGCUUUAAAAGAGAUGAAGAUUAUAAUGCAAAUGGUCUCUAGUUCCUAUCCCAGGUGCUGUAGUGAUUAGUGCUGUAGCAAUACAAGUACAACAUGAUGUAACACUGUGUCUGUCUACCUGAGACAAGAUGGGGAUAAGAACCAGAACAAAGGCAGGUAUGUUAGAUGUAGUCCACCUCACAAGAAACAGAUUUCUAUAUUAAAAGUAUUUUCUCUAUCUAUAUUCUCUAAUAAUGUAUAUUAACAGAUUUUUCUACCAGGAAACGCAAACUAUAUUUUAUAUAUGUGCUGUAAUUUUGUUAUACAGUGUUACAAGUCAAAGGGGAACACAGCUUUCACAUACUUCGCUAGGGAAAGGUUUGUGAAGGUAUUGCCUGUCAAUAAUUACAGAAUUCUUUUAUGCUCUAGACACGUUUCUCCAUGUUACAGUAGUUCAUUCUUUGAACAAAAAGAGAUGGAAAAUUCAACAAGUAUGCUAUUUUAAAGGUGACAUUAAGCAAAUCUGGAGUUAGCACUGGUGAUUUCUGUGCACUUACAUUUAGGUUAUCAUCCACUGCUGGUCCGUAAUCAGAAUUUUUCAAAAUUCAGUAUAGAGAUGUGCCAAAAAAUUGGUCUCUCAACAUGGAAAGACUGAAAUGUGUUCAAUGUCUUCUAAGGAUCACUUCUGUCCUUUAUGUUGAGUGCACAGUAAGCAAGCUGAAGUUACUAUAGCUGUGACUUCUUCACCUCAUCUGUUUGAGUUCUCUACCACUCCAAAGCUGCAACUGGCACAAAAUCAAGGGAGGUUUUGUUAUCCACUCAGGGCAGGGCUUUGUCCACAACCUUUGGACAUGAAAAUUAAGCAGGAAAACAGUAUCAGUAGCUGAUAUAUUGAAUGUCUCUACCAGAAUAUAAUUGUUUUCCUCAUUAAUAAGAUACACCUCACAAUAACCCAAAAGUUCUCUAUUAACAGGUAUAGCUAAGGGGCUCAGUCCUAGCCAUAUGCUAUGUUUGAGUGUUCUCAUACAUCAGAGGUAUCAGCCAUCUUUAAUCACUUCAGUAAUCAUUCCUCUCUGCACCCAAGGAUAAUGGGAUCAGUACAUGGAGUCUGGAGCUGGAAAGAUGCAAACAGGCAAGCUAUGUCAGAUAUGAAUACUGUGGAAUAUUCAGUGUAACUUCCUAUUCUUGAAAGGAGGAUCUGGUUGGUAUGAUCCAGUUUUAAAACUGUUGGCUAAUAAGGGCUGCUGUUCCCUUCAGUAAGAGCUCUGCUAAGAGACCACUGUUGAUAUUUUCUGAUAUAUAAUAUUUCUAUAUCAGAACAUAUAAAACUCAAAAGUGACUGCAUACGAGCUAUGUAAAUUAAAAGCAUAAAGCAUGGAAAGUGCUGUA